CCUACGGGAGGCAGCAGUGAGGAAUAUUGGUCAAUGGCCGUAAGGCUGAACCAGCCAAGUCGCGUGAAGGAAGAAGGAUCUAUGGUUUGUAAACUUCUUUUAUAGGGGAAUAAAGGUAUCCACGUGUGGAUAUUUGCAUGUACCCUAUGAAUAAGCAUCGGCUAACUCCGUGCCAGCAGCCGCGGUAAUACGGAGGAUGCGAGCGUUAUCCGGAUUUAUUGGGUUUAAAGGGUGCGCAGGCGGGAGAUCAAGUCAGCGGUAAAAUGUCGGGGCUCAACCCCGGCCGGCCGUUGAAACUGGUUUUCUAGAGUUGGAGAGAAGUAUGCGGAAUUCGUGGUGUAGCGGUGAAAUGCAUAGAUAUCACGAAGAACUCCGAUUGCGAAGGCAGCAUACCGGCUCCAUACUGACGCUGAGGCACGAAAGCGUGGGGAUCGAACAGGAUUAGAUACCCUAGUAGUC
rnacentral:rRNA from 1 species